UACGAAGGGGGCUAGCGUUGUUCGGAAUCACGGGGCGUAAAGCGCACGUAGGCGGAUGUGCCAGUCAGGGGUGAAAUCCCGGAGCUCAACUUCGGAACUGCCUCUGAUACAGCACGUCUUGAGUCCGGAAGAGGUGGGUGGAAUUCCUAGUGUAGAGGUGAAAUUCGUAGAUAUUAGGAAGAACACCGGUGGCGAAGGCGGCCCACUGGUCCGGUACUGACGCUGAGGUGCGAAAGCGUGGGGAGCAAACAGG
rnacentral:rRNA from 1 species